ensembl:lncRNA
CUCUGAGCUAAGGACAUCAACAAGGCUCCCUGGAGAGCAAGUGUCACCCAGCAGGGCUGGUGGCAGGGGACAGCCUGCAAGGGAGCACAAGAAACGCAUGCACUGCACCCACGGACAGGCUUAUAGAAGCACUGCAGCUUGGUUUGUUGAACCAAGGAUUUGAGUUUAUUCCUAGCCUGGAUCAAGAAAGGAAUUUAGCCUUGAUUAGAGGUGUGGUUUAGCUAACUUUACAAGAGGGUUUCUUGUGGAAGAACAGCUGAAACAGUGGACAGGUCAUGCGGAAGGAUGCUAUGCUGUGGGAAGAGACGCCAGGAGAGAUAUUUCUGAGCUAAAGGCAAAUGAGUUGUGUUAUGAGGAAACAGUGAAGGUGAAGAGCUGGUGAGGGGAAAACAGCAAGAAGAGAGACAGCAAGCACAUGGAAGCACUGCCUCCUCUUUGGAUUUCACACCCUGGAUUAUGCUAUCUCCUGAGCUCAGAAUUGGUGAUAAACUUGCGAAAACUUUGCCUGGAAACCAUAGGAAGAGCAAGAGGAUCUUGGCCAGGGAUGGCACCACUGCAAGGAGCCUUCUGAGCUGCCCUGAGCAGAGCUGUGCUCCUCUGGACGCAAUGCGAGCAGAGCAGUGACCUUUCCUCUGCAACCUGGAACAGAUGAGUUUGAGAUUGUUCACAGAGGGUUCAGGGGCACAGGGGAGAAAGGAUAUUUCAUUACCAUUGCCAAGAAAAUCUUUCAAUAAAUGAGAAAUUGCUAUUUGUUUUGUAUUGGACCAGACUGCAUCCAGAUUGCUCCUCUGUUGGAGCCUGGUUGUAUUUCGUUCCGUUUGUGUAACAAUUCUGGCCCUAACUUAAAGGGGUGGGUUUGCAUUUUGAGUGAUUGCCUGGUAAGUGGUAGAAUGGGACCCCUCAGCACAUCCCAUGCAGUACAUGUAGCGUGUACCACUGGGCUGUUUUCAAGGGGGUGGAGUUGUGGGAUAGGGAAAGCACUACAUUUUUCAUGAUACUUAAUACAUUGUGACUCAAAGACCAUUGGGGUCUCAUUUUGGCUUCAGUUCUGCAUUCAACCCAUUACUGACUUCUUACCCUUUCUCUAGAAGUCCUACUGGGUGACACCAUUUUGCACAAAGCAGACAGCUCCGUGAUGUGGCUUAGACUCGCACUACGGGUGGGCGUGCUUAAGUUAGAAUUGAAUAAAAUAUAUCCUAAAUGUGGAGCCAAUAGCUUAUUGUUUAGCUUAUUGUUGCUGAGGAUGCUCCACGUGGGUCCCUUCUGCUUCUGUCACACAGCUAAGAGAAACAAUCAUCUUCUUGGUCCCCAGAGCUGCUGCAAAGAUCUGUGAGCAGCAGCUGACCCCUCAAGAAAGCUGUCAGAGCCCUGUGGGCACCAGCAAGGGCAUCAGGAAUUUUAUUGGCCCUUAGGGCCUCCCUACUCUGCAUGAAGUCAAGGGAUGAAGGCCAGGACAAAAGCCAACUCCUUGCUGUCAUCCUGUUUUGGAGGAUCAAAGGCAGGAGGCAUCCAGGACACAGAGCUUUGCACAGUGGAGCAAAGGAUGGUUUGGGAGCACAUGCCCUGUAUGGCACAGCUGAUAGGUAGGUGCUCAACUGGUGCUUGAACAUAUUUCUCCUUCCCAGGUUCUUCAAGGAUCUCUAUGAAUGGAUAAUGGGGAAGGUAGCUGACAGAAACUGUAGCAGAGACAUGAAAGCAAUCACAGGAAACACUCUCCACUCCCUGCUCCUCGCUACCUGCACGCCUGUGCCCCACCAGCCACUUUUUCACUCCUUUUAAUCUUCCCAGCAGAAUCAGUCAGAUCCUGCAGAUUAUGGCCAAUGACCCCUCGUGUCUGCCAUGGUGCAUGAAAUGCAGCCAAGAAGCCAGGGACUGUGUGUGACACAAAGAGAACGGCAUGUUGGAGAAUAGGAGAUCUCUGUAAAAUCACACACUGCACAGCAUCCAUACCCGGCCGCUCCAGAUCUGCCCUGGGGGGCAGCCUGUAUCCGUGGAUUCAUCCUUCCAGAACACAGCAAGGGAGAGGUGGUAGUGGUGCAGUAAAAGAAGAAAAUAGAUGGAUGAGUUAAUGGUAAUGACAGCCCAACUGGAGCUCGUUAGAAACCAGGACAAUGCAGGAUAAGCUGUUGCUAACACAUUUGUCAGUAAACUGAAAACCACAUUCAUUUAAAAAGGAUGAAUGCACAUAAAUGCAGGCAAGCAGGACUCAGAAAGGAGCUCUGUAAACUGCACUCUCAGAAACUCGUCUAUAUUAUGAAACCCCUAUACACUAAGAAAACCCUCUGCAUUAAAGACUGCAUUGACACUUUAAUCCAUUUAUUCAGUACAGAUCCCAACCACUUGCUUCUGGAAAGAACACAGUCCCUAAAAAGGCAUUCAGCCCUACUCUGACCAUACACUGCUGCUCUGUUUGCAGUACAGGUGAUGAAACAAGGUGUUGGGAUGUGACCAAAGGUAGGGCUGGCAGCUUCACCUUCUGCAUUAGAGUGAAAGCUCAGUCCCUCACACUGUAGACCCUAUUUUCAACUGCAUACAACGUUGCCAAACUAUAACCAUUUGGAAUGAAAAUUUUAAUGCCAGGUAUCUGCCUCAGGCUGAAGCUUUUGGAGAAUGUCCACAAACUCAGCCGUUUCCAAUAAUGAAGGAACUGACUUGGACUUCUCACAUCCCAGCCAGCCAGCCGGAUCCUGGGCCGCAUCCAAAGCAUUUGCAGGGAGGGGAUCCUGCCCCUCUGCUCUGCGCUGGGACACCUCACCUGGAGCACCGCGUCCACAGGUGGAGUGCUCAGCACAGGAGAGACGGGGGCCUGUUGGAGUGCGUCCAGAGGAGGGCCACGGAAAUGAUCAGGGAUGGAGCAGCUCCCUACGAGGACAGGCUGAGAGAGCUGGGCUGUGCAGCCUGGAGAGGAGAAGGCUGUGGGAGACCUGAGAGCGGCCUGUUGUAUCUAAAGGGGGGCUGUAAGAAAGACAGGGACAGGCUCUUCAGCAGGGUCUGCUGUGAUAGGACAAGGGGAAAUGGCUUCAAACUAAACAAAGAGAGAUUUAGAUUGGAUAUUUUGCUACAAAAUCAGAAAGGAAGUUUGCUACAAUCAGAAUGGUGAGGCACCAGGGCAGGUUCCCCAGAGAGGUGGUGGAUGCCCCAUCCCUGGAGACACUCAGGGUCAGGGUGGAGUGGCUCUGAGCACCUGAUGGAGCUGUGGGUGUCCCUGCACAUUGCAAAGCAGUUGGACUAGAGGAGUUGUAGUCCUUGCAACCUAAACAAUUCUAUGAUUAUUCUAUGAUGGAAAUGCAGAGGAACAGUAGCCAUGGAUAGUGAUGUAAGCUGGGACCUGGUGCUGGCAUGUGCUUUUUAGAGAUGAAAAAUCUGAGGCACAAAUCAUUAACAAAUAAAAGUUAAACGAGAUCAUCUUGUCUGGACUGGAGAAAAUGGAUAAUCUGGAAAUAGUCUGAUCCUGGGAAACUCUUUUUUUUCUACAUAGCUUUUUCUUCCAACAUUUUUUCAGCUAUAUUGUCAAGGUUAUAUAAAAGAAGCACGUCCAUUGCC